rnacentral:rRNA from 1 species
UAACGGAGGAGCACGAAGGUUGGCUAAUCCUGGUCGGACAUCAGGAGGUUAGUGCAAUGGCAUAAGCCAGCUUGACUGCGAGCGUGACGGCGCGAGCAGGUGCGAAAGCAGGUCAUAGUGAUCCGGUGGUUCUGAAUGGAAGGGCCAUCGCUCAACGGAUAAAAGGUACUCCGGGGAUAACAGGCUGAUACCGCCCAAGAGUUCAUAUCGACGGCGGUGUUUGGCACCUCGAUGUCGGCUCAUCACAUCCUGGGGCUGAAGUAGGUCCCAAGGGUAUGGCUGUUCGCCAUUUAAAGUGGUACGCGAGCUGGGUUUAGAACGUCGUGAGACAGUUCGGUCCCUAUCUGCCGUGGGCGCUGGAGAACUGAGGGGGGCUGCUCCUAGUACGAGAGGACCGGAGUGGACGCAUCACUGGUGUUCGGGUUGUCAUGCCAAUGGCACUGCCCGGUAGCUAAAUGCGGAAGAGAUAAGUGCUGAAAGCAUCUAAGCACGAAACUUGCCCCGAGAUGAGUUCUCCCUGAGACUUAGAGUCUCCUGAAGGAACGUUGAAGACGACGACGUUGAUAGGCCGGGUGUGUAAGCGCAGCGAUGCGUUGAGCUAACCGGUACUAAUGAACCGUGAGGCUUAACCUU